rnacentral:sRNA from 1 species
CAAGUGAACAAUGGCCUCACCCUCAGUGACCUUCCUCUGCACAUGCUGAACAACAUCCUAUACCGGUUCUCAGACGGAUGGGACAUCAUCACCUUAGGCCAGGUGACCCCCACGUUGUAUAUGCUUAGUGAAGACAGACAGCUGUGGAAGAAGCUUUGUCAGUACCAUUUUGCUGAAAAGCAGUUUUGUAGACAUUUGAUCCUUUCAGAAAAAGGUCAUAUUGAAUGGAAGUUGAUGUACUUUGCACUUCAGAAACAUUACCCAGCGAAGGAGCAGUACGGAGACACACUGCAUUUCUGUCGGCAUUGCAGCAUUCUCUUUUGGAAGGACUACCAUCUUGCUUUACUAUUCAAGAACAACACCUGAGUGCUGAGGGAGGCUGCUAGAUGUGCACAUAAACACUUCACCACACAGCACC